rnacentral:rRNA from 1 species
GACGAACGCUGGCGGCGUGCUUAACACAUGCAAGUCGAACGGUGAAGCCCUGCUUUUGUGGGGUGCUCGAGAGGCGAACGGGUGAGUGCCACGUGAGUAACCUCCCCUUGACAUUCUGAUAUAUUCAGGGGAAUGGGGCUAAUACAGGAUAGAUGCUCCUGCUGCAUGGCGUGGGUUCGAAAGAUUCGGCGGUUGGGGAUGGAAUCGCGGCGUAUCAGCUUGUUGGUGGGGUAGUGGCUUACCAAGGCUUUGACGGGUAGCCGGCCUGGGAGGGUGACCGGCCACAUUGGGACUGAGACACGGCCCAGACUCCUACGGGAGGCAGCAGUGGGGAAUAUUGCACAAUGGGCGGAAGCCUGAUGCAGCAACGCCGCGUGCGGGAUGACGGCCUUCGGGUUGUAAACCGCUUUUGGCUGGGACGAAGCGAGAGUGACGGUAAUUGGUGAAUAAGCACCGGCUAACUACGUG